CUUUCCUUUUUCAUUGUGUUGGGAUUGUGUGUGUGUGUGUGUGUGUGUGUGUGAGUAUGUGUGUGUGAUUGUGUCGUGAGAAAUUUGCACAGCUGUCAAGACAGGAGAAGCUCAAAUGGUGGAGACAGCUGUCUUAUAUGUGUGUGUGUUCAUAAGAAUGUGUGACAAGGAGAGAGA